rnacentral:rRNA from 1 species
AACGCUAGCUACAGGCUUAACACAUGCAAGUCGCGGGGCAUCAUGGCGUGACCUUCGGGUCAUGUUGAUGGCGACCGGCGCACGGGUGAGUAACGCGUAUCCAACCUGCCUGUCACCGGGGCACAGCCCGCCGAAAGGCGGAUUAAUACCCCAUGCGGUCCGCGGUUGGCAUCAGAAGCGGACGAAAGGAUUGGCGGUGACGGAUGGGGAUGCGUCCGAUUAGCUGGUUGGCGGGGUAACGGCCCACCAAGGCGACGAUCGGUAGGGGUUCUGAGAGGAAGGUCCCCCACACUGGAACUGAGACACGGUCCAGACUCCUACGGGAGGCAGCAGUGAGGAAUAUUGGUCAAUGGAGGCAACUCUGAACCAGCCAAGUAGCGUGCAGGAUGACGGCCCUACGGGUUGUAAACUGCUUUUAUGCGCGGAUAAAUUGAGGUACGUGUACCUUAUUGCAGGUAGCGCAAGAAAAAGGACCGGCUAAUUCCGUGCCAGCAGCCGCGGUAAUACGGAAGGUCCGGGCGUUAUCCGGAUUUAUUGGGUUUAAAGGGAGCGCAGGCCGCCUUUUAAGCGUGUUGUGAAAAGCCGUGGCUCAACCACGGUCGUGCAGCGCGAACUGGAGGGCUUGAGUGCGCGGAAGGCAGGCGGAAUUCGUGGUGUAGCGGUGAAAUGCUUAGAUA